rnacentral:rRNA from 1 species
AGUUCUGGGCCGCACGCGCGCUACACUGACAGAGCCAACGAGUUCUUCACCUUGGCCGAAAGGUCUGGGUAAUCUUGUUAAACUCUGUCGUGCUGGGGAUAGAGCAUUGCAAUUAUUGCUCUUCAACGAGGAAUGCCUAGUAAGCGCGUGUCAUCAGCAUGCGUUGAUUACGUCCCUGACCUUUGUACACACCGCCCGUCGCUACUACCGAUUGAAUGGCUCAGUGAGGCGUUCGGACUGGCUCGGGGAGGUUGGCAACGACCACCCCAAGCCGGAAAGUUCGUCAAACUCGGUCAUUUAGAGGAAGUAAAAGUCGUAACAAGGUCUCCGUAGGUGAACCUGCGGAGGGAUCAUUACACAAUACAAUAUGAAGGCUGUCCGCAGCUGGAGUAUUUUAUUACCCUUGUCUUUUGCGCACUUGUUGUUUCCUGGGCGGGUUCGCUCGCCACCAGGACCACCAAAUAAACCUUUUUUAUGCAGUUGCAAUCAGCGUCAGUACAAACAAUGUAAAUCAUUUACAACUUUCAACAACGGAUCUCUUGGUUCUGGCAUCGAUGAAGAACGCAGCGAAAUGCGAUACGUAGUGUGAAUUGCAGAAUUCAGUGAAUCAUCGAAUCUUUGAACGCACAUUGCGCCCUUUGGUAUUCCAAAGGGCAUGCCUGUUCGAGCGUCAUUUGUACCCUCAAGCUUUGCUUGGUGUUGGGGCGUUUUUGUCUUUGGUCGCCCAAAGACUCGCCUUAAAGUGAUUGGCAGCCCGGCCUUUCUGGUUUCCAGCGCAACACAUUUUUGCGCUUGGCAUCAGCAAGAACGGCAAUCCAUCAAGCCUCCCUCUCACGUUUGACCUCGGACAGGUAGGGAUACCCCUGAACUUAGCCUAUCAUAACGGAGGAAAAAAACCACAGGAUGCCUAAUACCGCGAUGACGCCACACUCAAUGAAUUG